UUUUAUGUAAUUUAAACAUUUGUGUACUCACAUUGAAUUAUAUAGCUGGAGUACCCGAGUUGGUUACACGCAAAAACAAUUAAGACCCAGCCAGUAAAGUGAUCCCGACUGGACCUGGCUAACGUCGCCAUGCUAACUGCUAAU